rnacentral:rRNA from 1 species
UACAGAGGGUGCAAGCGUUGUCCGGAAUCACUGGGCGUAAAGGGCGCGUAGGCGGCCUGAUAAGUAGGAGGUGAAAUCCUGGGGCUUAACCUCAGGGCUGCCUUCUAGACUGUCCGGCUCGAGCACAGUAGAGGCAGGUGGAAUUCCCGGUGUAGCGGUGGAAUGCGUAGAGAUCGGGAAGAACAUCGGUGGCGAAGGCGGCGCUCUGGAACGUUUCUGACACUGAGGCUCGAAAGCGUGGGGAGCAAACAGG